GCGGGUAUGGUUCAGUGGUAGAAUGCGACCUUCCCAAGGUCGAGAUACGGGUUCGAUUCCCGUUACCCGCU
rnacentral:tRNA from 1 species